UACGUAGGCAGCGAGCGUUGUUCGGAGUUACUGGGCGUAAAGAGUGCAUAGGCGGUUUUCUAAGUUUGGUGUGAAAUCUCCCGGCUCAACUGGGAGGGUGCGCCGAAGACUGGAAGGCUUGAGUAUGGGAGAGGUAAGCGGAAUUCCUGGUGUAGUGGUGAAAUGCGUAGAUAUCAGGAGGAACACCUGCGGUGUAGACGGCUUACUGGACCAUAACUGACGCUGAGGCACGAAAGCGUGGGUAGCAAACAGG
rnacentral:rRNA from 1 species